CCAGACUCCUACGGGAGGCAGCAGUGGGGAAUAUUGCACAAUGGGGGAAACCCUGAUGCAGCGACGCCGCGUGAGCGAAGAAGUAUUUCGGUAUGUAAAGCUCUAUCAGCAGGGAAGAAAUUGACGGUACCUGAGUAAGAAGCUCCGGCUGAAUACGUGCCAGCAGCCGCGGUAAUACGUAUGGAGCAAGCGUUAUCCGGAUUUACUGGGUGUAAAGGGAGCGUAGACGGCGACGCAAGUCUGGAGUGAAAGCCCGGGGCCCACCCCCGGGACUGCUCUGGAAACUGCGGCGCUGGAGUACGGGAGGGGCAGGCGGAAUUCCUGGUGUAGCGGUGAAAUGCGUAGAUAUCAGGAGGAACACCGGCGGCGAAGGCGGAUUGCUGGACAGUAACUGACGCUGAGGCGCGAAAGCGUGGGGAGCAAACAGGAUUAGAUACCCCCGUA
rnacentral:rRNA from 1 species